AUUGAACGCUGGCGGCAGGCCUAACACAUGCAAGUCGAACGGUAACAGGAAGAAGCUUGCUUCUUUGCUGACGAGUGGCGGACGGGUGAGUAAUGUCUGGGAAACUGCCUGAUGGAGGGGGAUAACUACUGGAAACGGUAGCUAAUACCGCAUAAUGUCGCAAGACCAAAGAGGGGGACCUUCGGGCCUCUUGCCAUCGGAUGUGCCCAGAUGGGAUUAGCUAGUAGGUGGGGUAACGGCUCACCUAGGCGACGAUCCCUAGCUGGUCUGAGAGGAUGACCAGCCACACUGGAACUGAGACACGGUCCAGACUCCUACGGGAGGCAGCAGUGGGGAAUAUUGCACAAUGGGCGCAAGCCUGAUGCAGCUAUGCCGCGUGUAUGAAGAAGGCCUUCGGGUUGUAAAGUACUUUCAGCGGGGAGGAAGGGAGUAAAGUUAAUACCUUUGCGCAUUGACGUUACCCGCAGAAGAAGCACCGGCUAACUCCGUG
rnacentral:rRNA from 1 species